GCCGAGGUGGUGGAAUGGUAGACACCGGGGACUUAAAAUCCCCUCCUCGCAAGAGGGUACGGGUUCAACUCCCGUCCUCGGCA
rnacentral:tRNA from 1 species